UUAAUACAACAGCCAUUUUAUUUUAUCUUAUGGAUCAGGAAUUUGAAGAAGCUUAAUUAGGAUGGGUUUUCUCUGCUCCCUAUUGAGGGUGGAGUAUCAUUAUUACUUCAUAUAUCUGACCCUAUAGCUAGGAUGGCUGGAGUGCUGAAACCUCUCUUUCCUCAUAGGCUCUUAUCCUUCAGAGCUUUUCUCUCCUUGUAGUUUUGCAUUCUACCAACCUUCAGGGUAUUUAUUUCCAUCUAGCCUCACCAGCAUGACAGUCUAGAUUGCUUUAUAUGGUAGCUGAGCCUUCCUAAGAGAGUGAAAAAGGAAGUUACAAGACCUCUGAAAACUUACUCUCAGAAGUAAUUUCUGCCUCAUUCUACUGGUAAAAGCAAAUCAAACGACCAACCAAGAUUCAAUAGAGGAAAAAUAGAUACCACCU
ensembl:lncRNA novel transcript